UGCAACUGCCCAAGUGACCAUGACAGUUACAUGCUCCAUCCUGGAGUAGAGAGGAGAUAUUAGAUCUCCUGGGUCUGUGGAAAGAAAAGGCUGUGCAAGCACAGCUACGGACCAGCCAUAGAAACAUCAACAUUAUGAUCAGAUCGCAUGGGGGAUGCAGGAGAAAGGGCAUGACAGGGAUCAGCAGCAGUGUCACAUGAAAGUGACAGGAUUGCAUCAGGCAUACCAGAAGGCCAGGGAGGCCAACAGCUGAUCUGAUGCCAAGCCACAGACCUGCCGCUUUUACAAAGAGCUGCAUGCUAUCCUUAGCGGAGCCCCCCUCCUCCCCCGCUCUUCACCAUGGAUACCUCCAAGAAGCACAAGCCACAGAUGCCUGGCAUAAACAGUGAGAAUGAGGAGGAUGGGGGACAGGGAACUGGAAGCAGGUGGAGGGAAAUCCAGCUACACUGUGAGCCAGGAUCUGUGAGACUCCAAUGCAGUCCAAUCAGUCGAGCAUGGGCAAGCCUGAUGCAGGGAAAGGAAUCUCAGCGUUGAAGGGGUCCCUCUCCACACUUGCAGAAUGCCUGAGCCAGAUAAGGAGAAAGAAGAGGACUCGGUAUAACAUUUUCAAUGAGAUCCUGCAACCCAGUGCUGCAUCACACCAUCAGCAAUGGGCCUGGAGGGCGAACACUGCAGGCAGCCUGGAGAAGGAAACAGCAGACAGGAGAAAGGCCCAGAAGUCCCAGCAGGAAAAGGAGAGGGAGAUGCAUCAGGACUUAAUAGAGCUUCUCUGUCAGCAACCAGAUGCUGCUGACUGUUGUGGACCUACAGGUUCAACAACCAUGGGAUCCUGUCCCUUUUCAGUCCCUGGAGAAUUCCACUACAGCACCUCCCCUCACACACUCCUACCCAACAUUCCAUGUGAUAGUAGGGGGAACAUACCUACCCUUGCCACAUUAAGGACAACCACAACUUCACAUACAGCAACCAUGGCUUUUGCAGGUCAGUGUAUGUGUAGCUAUGGUUGAAAUGUAGCAUUUUUCAUAGAAUCAGAUUAUUAGGGUUGGAAGGGACCUCAGGAGAUCACGAUAAAUGUUCUUUCUCCUUAAGUUCUGUUCCAUUAAUUUAGUAAGUUUUUAAUGUAUUUGCUUUUAAGUUAUACAUUUUUCUGUGCACUGGUUUUGUUAGAGUAAAGUUAUAUUAUUGGAAAAUAAGUAAUCUUUAUUAGUUCACAACAUAUGCUGCUGAGUGCCUUGCAGUUCUGAAAACACCCACUUACUUGUCACUGUACUACACCAUAACACAGCUCAUAGGAUCAGUGACAUAGUGUAAUCAUCAUAAAUGAACACCAAGCACCGCAAAAUUAAUAGCUGCAUUGACAGUGUUCUAUUCAGAGAUGUACACCAAGCACCCCACAAUUCCUAACACCCACAAUACAUCAGGAGCAGGUACAGCACAGUACGUUACUGUGGCUCACUGUUAAAAGUGCUCUUUGCAAGCCUCCCUCAGCCAGAUAGCUCUGUGAUGAGCUCUAACAGCCCUUGUAUCUGGCUGUUCAAACUCUGCAGACAGCUGCUCCACUCCUGUCCUACAGACCUGUGGCAACUUUCCCCCCUUUGCUUCACAGAUCUUAUGCAAGACACAGUGGGCUGCUAUAACUAUUAGGUUUUUUUUCCACACUGAGAUACAAUUUUGUAAGUAAACAAUGCCAGCGUCCCUUCAAUCUACCAAAAGCACAUUCAACCAUCACCUUGCUUGGGUGCUAGUUGCUUGGUGCUGUUGAGGUGGCUGGUGUAUGGCUUCAUGAGGCAAGGGAGCAGGGGAGGCUGGGUCCCCCCCAAGGCUGUUAGUGGUACUUUAACAUUGCCAGUUGUAGCUUUCUGAAAAGUCCUGUGUUCUUAAACAUGCACCUUCCUUGAGCAGCCAUCAUUUUACUGGUGACGCAUCCCCCGUGAGCCAUCAAUGCUUGCAUAAUCACAGAAAAGUAGCCCUCUCUGUUGAUCUACCCUGUGGCAAAGUGGCCAGGUGCCAAAAUUGGGAUUUGAAUGCCAUCUAUUGCUCCACCACAGUUCGGAAACCCCACUGCUGCAAAUCCAUUCUCUAUGUCUUGCACAUUGCCGAGAGUCACAGCCCUGGAUAACAGGAGAUGAUUAAUGGCCCUGCACACUUGCAUGACAGUCUCCUGCAGUGGAUUUUCCAACUCCAAAACAAUUUCCCACUGACUGGUAGCAAUCUGGUGUUGCAAGUUUCCCCAGUGUGAUUGCCACUUACUUUUCCACUGUCAGAGAAGUUCUCAUUUUUGCGUCCCUGCGCUGGAUGCCUUGUGUGAGCUUGGUGCACAGAUCCAGGAAUGUGGCCUUGUACAUCUGAAAGUUCUGCAGCCACUGCUCAUCAUCCCAAUCCUGUAUUAUGAUCUGAUCCCACCAAUCAGUGCUCAUUUCUCAGGCCCAGAAGCAGUACUCCACCCUAUGCAGCUGCUCUGCGACCAACACCAGAAACCUUGAAUUAGUUCUCACUGGCCCAUAUCAAUCUGUCCUCCGAGAAGCUGUUAUGUUCCCCACUGAUGAGGUUCUUCUUAUGGCUUGGCAAAUACCAGAGGAUCAUGUGUCCUGUGCUUGCAAUGUUUAGGACAAUAGUGCAGAGCUGUGCAGGCUCCAUGCUUCUGUCAGAAAUACUGGACUGAGAGGACUGCAUGGGUAUGUGGGCUUUUUAACAAAAGUGUGAAAAUUAUGGGGUAUAGAUGACAUUAUAGGAUGGAGACAGUUACACUCUGGGAACCUGAUCCCUUGCUCCCAGUCACCCCUGCACAACUUGUUUCUAUCCCACCCUGUCUUGCCAAAAUUUCUCAAAACACACUGUGCCUGACAGUGGCAGAUUGCACACUGGGAUUGGAAGCUCAAUUUCAGACUUAAAAGUGACCAUUCUUCAACAAAAAAAACCCUUCAAAAACAGACUUCAAUGAGAAAAUGCAGAACUGGAAUUCAUUUGCAAACCUGACACCAUCAAAUUAGGCCUGAACAAACACUGGGAAUGUCUGGCUCACUACAAGAAGUAAUGUCCUAUCGACUGUUGAGUAUCGGCCAUCCACCUGAUGGAACUGGCAUUGUUAGCACUACAAAAAGUAAUUUUUACUCUGACAUUCACUGUCAAUUAUUGGGAAUGGGACACAUCCACCCUGAUUGAAUCAUUGCCCCCCACCCCCACAUGGUAAGGUAACUCCCUCUUUUCUUGUGCUGUAUAUUUAUGCCUGCCUACUGUAAUUGUCACUCCAUAUAUCUGAAGAAGUGGGUCACAGCCCACAAAAGCCUAUGCUCUAAUAUAUUUGUUAGUCCUUAAGAUGCCACAAGACUC